rnacentral:rRNA from 1 species
AGUGAACGCUGGCGGUAGGCCUAACACAUGCAAGUCGAACGGCAGCACAGUAAGAGCUUGCUCUUACGGGUGGCGAGUGGCGGACGGGUGAGGAAUACAUCGGAAUCUACUUUUUCGUGGGGGAUAACGUAGGGAAACUUACGCUAAUACCGCAUACGACCUACGGGUGAAAGCAGGGGAUCUUCGGACCUUGCGCGAUUGAAUGAGCCGAUGUCGGAUUAGCUAGUUGGCGGGGUAAAGGCCCACCAAGGCGACGAUCCGUAGCUGGUCUGAGAGGAUGAUCAGCCACACUGGAACUGAGACACGGUCCAGACUCCUACGGGAGGCAGCAGUGGGGAAUAUUGGGCAAUGGGCGCAAGCCUGAUCCAGCCAUACCGCGUGGGUGAAGAAGGCUUUCGGGUUGUAAAGCCCUUUUGUUGGGAAAGAAAAGCAGCAGGUUAAUACCCCGCUGUUCUGACGGUACCCAAAGAAUAAGCACCGGCUAACUUCGUG